GACGAACCGUGCGAACGUUGUUCGGAAUCACUGGGCUUAAAGGGCGCGUAGGCGGCUCGCGAGGUCGGGGGUGAAAUCCCGCAGCUUAACUGCGGAAGGGCCUCCGAUACCGGCGGGCUGGAGGAAGGUGAGGGGUGCGCGGAACUUCUGGUGGAGCGGUGAAAUGCGUUGAUAUCAGAAGGAACGCCGGCGGCGAAAGCGGCGCACUGGACCUUUUCUGACGCUGAGGCGCGAAAGCUAGGGGAGCAAACGGGG
rnacentral:rRNA from 1 species